rnacentral:rRNA from 1 species
GAUUAAGCCAUGCAUGUCUAAGUAUAAACGAUUUAAUCGUGAAACCGCGAAUGGCUCAUUAUAACAGCUAUAAUUUACUUGAUCUUGACACAAUCCUACUUGGAUAACUGUGGUAAUUCUAGAGCUAAUACAUGCAUUAAAGCUCUGACCUCACGGGAAGAGUGCAUUUAUUAGAACAAAACCAAGCGGCUUCGGCUGUUUCUGGUUGACUCAUAGUAACUGAGCUGAUCGCAUGGUCUUGCACCGGCGACGUGUCUUUCAAGUAUCUGCCGUAUCAACUUUCGAUGGUAGUGUAUCUGACUACCAUGGUGAUCACGCGUAACGGAGAAUAAGGGUUCGGCUCCGGAGAGUUCGCCUGAGAAAUCGCGAACACAUCUAAGGAAGGCAGCAGGCGCGAAAAUUACCCACUCUCAGCACGAGGAGGUAGUGACGAAAAAUAUCGAGUCCGUUCUCUUAUGAGGCCGGUCAUCGGAAUGGAGUACAAUUUAAACCCUUUAACGAGUAUC